CCCAGCUCCAAACCCCCUGAGCGGGCAACUAGCUCGACUGUCCCAGUAAGGCCGGCGGUUGACAGGCGGUAGCAGUCCAGAAGCAGAGCCGACCUCAGGGCAGGCUAGAUCCAGGGACUCAGGAGACAUCGAGGACCAAGCUCAGGGCGGACACCAUCAUGAGGCUGGCUCCCCCCGGGGUCGGAGGAAAGCUGCCAUCAGCAACUGGAUCUACGCGCUUCUGCAUUCAGAGAGAGAACGAAGGCCUCUUCACCAAUCACAAGACCAAAGCCCUGAGCUUUGCCGUGAUUAGACCAAGCCCUAUCAUGAGCCUAACCUGCAAUCAGUCACAGGUAAAGAAACUGGCCCAUCUACUCAGGCCUAGUCUCUCAGAGACCAGCAGAUGUUAGGCCUCUAAUCUGCAGUGGUAUUAAGUAACCAAAUAGUGUGAGAAUCUUGUGCCUGUCCAGCUAACAGGAUAAUACUCACCUCUCAGAGCUCCGAGAUCUGCUUGCUCACUUUGGGUGUUUUUCCCCCCCUAAGUCUUGCUGAGUUAACAUUUAUACUAACUCGCCUGAAAUCAAACUGUCGAGAUCACAUCUUCACCUGAUUGCAAUGACCUUCUUAGCUGACCCUUGACUAAUUUAACCCCUGUCCUCAUGCUCCAAUUAAAAUCGCAUCAAAUAGGUGAAAUUAGAUUUUCCUUUGCAUUUUGUGCAAGCUCUCCUUACCUCGGCAGCUCUAAGUGUCUUAGGUUCUUACUCAGGUCGCCCAGUUAGGGUUUUGAGACCUCACACAGUAUAUUACAUGGCAUCUCCACUCACUCAGUCCUGAUUUAUGAGCAGCUACCACUUGGUGGGUGAGCCAGGGUGUUAGUCAGCCACCCACUUCCUGGGGUCAUGGGGAGAAUUAGUGAAGUCACACGUGCAGCAGCUGUUGUCUCUGACAUUAGUGUGCAAAGCACAGCUCCAGGAGCUAGUGAACACACACCACGGUGUCCACAGGCCACUGCUACCAACGAGCUUAUCUGGACAGGGGAAGUAAGUACAAAAAAGUCGAUCUAAUACAGGGCAUAGUUUAAGUACCUUAAAAGAAGUAGGGGGAAAAAAAAGAAAGUAGGAAUGGGAAUGAAAGACAUACAA